rnacentral:rRNA from 1 species
AACGAACGCUGGCGGCAGGCUUAACACAUGCAAGUCGAACGCCCCGCAAGGGGAGUGGCAGACGGGUGAGUAACGCGUGGGAAUCUACCUAGUUCUACGGAACAACACAGGGAAACGUGUGCUAAUACCGUAUACGCCUUACGGGGGAAAGAUUUAUCGGAAUUAGAUGAGCCCGCGUAAGAUUAGCUAGUUGGUGGGGUAAUGGCCUACCAAGGCGACGAUCUUUAGUUGGUCUGAGAGGAUGAUCAGCCACACCGGGACUAGGACAAGGCCCAGACUACUACGGGAGGCAGCAGUGGGGAAUAGAGGACAAUGGCGGCAACCCUGAUCGAGCCAUGCCUGGUGAGUGAUGAAGGCCCUAGGGUUGUAAAGCUCUUUUGUGCGGGAAGAUAAUGACGGUACCGCAAGAAUAAGCCCCGGCUAACUUCGUGCCAGCCGCCGCCGUAACAC